CCCCUCUCAGGGUCGCACCUGGAGAGUUUCCAGGACCCUACCAGUCUCGACUGUGAGAGGGAGAGUCAAGCAGAGGCCUACCCAUUCCAUUCCUAGCUUGGACAGUGGCUAGCGAGUUGGAAGGCAAUCUGCUACAAAU
rnacentral:snoRNA from 1 species